AAGUCGUAACAAGGUUUCCGUAGGUGAACCUGCGGAAGGAUCAUUACAGUGCUCGUCGGUACGCCACGUCUCCGGGCGUGGACGUGCCGCACCUGCCCCACCCGUGUCUACCUUUACCUUCUGUUGCUUCGGCGGGCCCGCCUUUGCCACGUAGGUACGCUUACUACCCCGUCCUAACCACGGAGAUGAGGGGGCAAGCGUACCUACGCAGCGGGCGGACCGGGGACCCCGCGCACGCACGCGGCCCCUGGCCAGCGCCCGUCAGAGGACCGUCUGAACCUCCUUGUGAAUGUACGACCAGUCUGAGAUUCUACUUUAGAAAUACAGUCAAAACUUUCAACAACGGAUCUCUUGGUUCUG
rnacentral:misc_RNA from 1 species